rnacentral:lncRNA from 10 species
GGGGCGUGCAGUAAACAUGUAAAAAGAUUCUUACUAAUAAGCAGGUAGGUGCGAAUGAAAAUCAUCAUGGAAGGUUAUUUUUAAAACUGGUUCUAUCAUUGCCUCACUUUACAUAUUACAGAGUUGUACCUACUACUUUGUAAGAUAACUUUUCUUUUCAAAACUGAAGUCAAUGUGAUAGAAUGGUGAGCAUUAUUUUGGAAGGCCAGACUAGGAGGAGGUGGGAGGAGGAAGUCAGACUCAGCCUGUGAACAGACGCUAACCUUGGCAGAAGCCAAAACAGUCAGACAGUGUUGUGUAAAAAUGAUCAUUCAAGAAGAGCGAAACAGCAAGGUGAUUUGUGAAAGAGAUUUAUUAGAAAAUGAAACACAUUUAUACCUCUGUUCAAUAAAAAUCUGCUUUUCGUCAA